UGAGAUUCCAGUUUAAUUCUGAUUGUGAAAAAGCCAGGAAGAAAGCUCUAGAUUAUAUCUUUGACUACAAAGGUACACUAACACAAUUUAAUGGUUAAGUUUAAGUCAAAAUAUUGAAAUAUUAAUGUAUCCAAAUGAAUUUCUCAUUUUGUUAAUUAGGAGUUAAAUCUGUAGAAUUAGAAAACAGCAUACUUCUCGUGCAAGGAGAAGGACUAAAUGAGGAAGAAAUGAAGAGAAAGAUGGAUAAGAUUCUUCUUUCACCCAAAACGGGAUUUCUAUCGUGUUUAACUCCUAAAAGAUGAUAUGAUCUUCGUCUUUUAAAAUAAAUAUUUGAAUUAGUAUGGCUUCAUGUUCUAUAAAAGGCCAAGUUAU
rnacentral:lncRNA from 1 species